UACGGGGGGUGCGAGCGUUGUCCGGAAUCACUGGGCGUAAAGGGCGCGUAGGUGGCGUGAUAAGGGUGUGGUGAAAGCCCGGGGCUCAACCCCGGGUCUGCCAUGCCGACUGUCAGGCUGGAGUACUGUAGGGGCAGGCGGAAUUCCGGGUGUAGCGGUGGAAUGCGUAGAGAUCCGGAGGAAGACCGGUGGCGAAGGCGGCCUGCUGGGCAGUUGCUGACACUGAGGCGCGACAGCGUGGGGAGCAAACAGG
rnacentral:rRNA from 1 species